rnacentral:rRNA from 1 species
AUUGAACGCUGGCGGCAGGCCUAACACAUGCAAGUCGAGCGGAUGAAGGGAGCUUGCUCCUGGAUUCAGCGGCGGACGGGUGAGUAAUGCCUAGGAAUCUGCCUGGUAGUGGGGGAUAACGUCCGGAAACGGGCGCUAAUACCGCAUACGUCCUGAGGGAGAAAGUGGGGGAUCUUCGGACCUCACGCUAUCAGAUGAGCCUAGGUCGGAUUAGCUAGUUGGUGGGGUAAAGGCCUACCAAGGCGACGAUCCGUAACUGGUCUGAGAGGAUGAUCAGUCACACUAGAACUGAGACACGGUCCAAGCACCUACGGGAGGCAGCAGUCGGGAAUAUUGGACAAUGGGCGAAAGCCUAAUCCAGCCAUGCCGCGUGUGUGAAGAAGGUCUUCGAGUUGUAAAGCACUUUAUGUUGGGAGGAAGGGCAGUAAGUGAAUACCUUGCUGUUUUGACGUUACCGACAGAAUAAGCACCGGCUGACUUCGUG